rnacentral:rRNA from 1 species
GACGGGACCCGCACAAGCGGUGGAUGAUGUGGUUUAAUUCGAUGCAACGCGAAAACCUUACCCACCUUUGACAUGUACGGAACCCUUUAGAGAUAGAGGGGUGCUCGAAAGAGAGCCGUAACACAGGUGCUGCAUGGCUGUCGUCAGCUCGUGUCGUGAGAUGUUGGGUUAAGUCCCGCAACGAGCGCAACCCUUGUCAUUAGUUGCUACAUUCAGUUGGGCACUCUAAUGAGACUGCCGGUGACAAGCCGGAGGAAGGUGGGGAUGACGUCAAGUCCUCAUGGCCCUUAUAGGUGGGGCUACACACGUCAUACAAUGGCUGGUACAAAGGGUUGCCAACCCGCGAGGGGGAGCCAAUCCCAUAAAGCCAGUCGUAGUCCGGAUCGUAGUCUGCAACUCGACUACGUGAAGUCGGAAUCGCUAGUAAUCGUGGAUCAGAAUGUCCCGGUGAAUACGUUCCCGGGUCUU